GAUGAAGAACGUAGCGAAAUGCGAUAAGUAAUGCGAAUUGCAGAAUUCAGUGAGUCAUCGAAUCUUUGAACGCACAUUGCGCCCUGUGGUAUUCCGCAGGGCAUGCCUGUUCGAGCGUCAUUUCAACCCUCAAGCUCUGCUUGGUGUUGGGCCCUGCCCGCUGCGGCCGGCCCUAAAGACAGUGGCGGUGCCGCCUGGCCCUGAGCGUAGUACAUCUCUCGCUCCAGUGCCCGGUGGUAGCCUGCCAGAACCCCAACUCUCGUGGUUGACCUCGGAUCAGGUAGGACUACCCGCUGAACUUAAGCAUGUCAAUAAGCGGAGGA
rnacentral:misc_RNA from 1 species